CGCCACGCACAGUUUCAUUGGAUUCUAUUCCAUCUCUUCGCGUCCGCUUCCUCUAAUUGUGAGUUUUGGCUGUAAUGCGUUUUACAGAUUCCCAUCUACUGUACUUCCUAUGUAGUGCAUAUCCCGUUCCUCCUUUUACAGGCUUCUCAAAUCAUUCGUUCGUUCGUGCUGGUCAUCCUCCUACAUCUGUCUGUCUCGCUCCGUUGAUUAAUCGUGUUCAUUGGGAUUUAAAAAGAGGAACAUGGAUUUUUGUUGGUGACUUGUAAGCAGCAACAAGAUCUUGCAAUUUCUAAUUUUCUAGCCAUCCACGUGAGUACAGAUCAGGCGAGUACCUCGGGGCAGAGCCCGCGUUGCCGUACCUGAGCCCCUACACCGACGUCGGCAUCCUCAACGACACAGGCGUGCAAUUCGUGAACAUCAUCAGGAUCGCCCAGCAGCUGCAGAACUUCCAGGACUACCAGCAGAGGCUAGCGGCGUACGUCGGCGAGGACGCGGCGAGGGAGCGCGUGAGCCAGUCGCUGGUGCUCAUCACGCUUGGCGGCAACACGACUUCGUCAACAACUACUACCUGGUGCCCUUCUCCGCUAGGUCCCAGCAGUUCGAGAUCCACGACUACGUCCACUUCAUCAUCUCCGAGUACAAGAAAUUCCUCGCGG